AACUGUAUAGAGCAGGAUUUGAGAACGUCCUUUUCUCCUCCAACACAGGCUGAGGAGGAAAUCAUCUACUGCAAUGUUAGGCCCAAGAGAAAGUCUUCAAGCCAGGCUGAAGAGGACGUAACAUAUUUGUAAUGUUGGAAUCGUGACGAAAACAUCAAGCCAGGUUGAAGCAGAAGAUAAUGAUGUUACGUACAGCACGUUGGCUCAGCACUAACAGAAAAUGAAAAUGUUUGUCCGUCUGUUCAUCUUUUUAUCUCUCUGCGAGCAGACAGCUAUUCUUACUAGACGAGAGUGUUACACGUCAUCGUCUGCUUUUAUCAUUUGGUUGUGCAGAAACUUCUUCUCCUUUGCAUCACUAGUUGUCUCACCUUUCUUUAACCCUCCCUUUCAUACACAAACAUUGACAACUAUGCAGAUAUUUUACUAUAUUUGUAUUCAUGCGUUAAUCUCAGAACAUUUAGUUAUAUUUAGCUUUUCGAGAAACCACCUGUUAGAAUCUAACUCAAUACAGCUAAAUGAAUCGUCUCUUAUGUCACAUGUCAUUUCUACGGAGGAAUCUGCGGUUUUCUAGCCUUGUGGUUGCUCAAAAGGGUUCAUUUUUUACUCAGUCAGACAUCCACUUUCUUGCACCACAAGGCUAUAAAACCACAGAUAUGUAAAGUAUAAAAAGGUUGAAUAUGUAAGUGCUCUGGUGAGCUUGCUGUUUUGUAUACUUAUAACUCUAAAAGGACCAAGGUGCAUAUCAUUUCUUAGGAUUU